AUUGAACGCUGGCGGCAUGCCUUACACAUGCAAGUCGAACGGCAGCACGGGAGCAAUCCUGGUGGCGAGUGGCGAACGGGUGAGUAAUAUAUCGGAACGUGCCCGGUCGUGGGGGAUAACGUAGCGAAAGCUACGCUAAUACCGCAUACGAUCUACGGAUGAAAGCGGGGGAUCGCAAGACCUCGCGCGAUUGGAGCGGCCGAUAUCAGAUUAGGUAGUUGGUGAGGUAAAGGCUCACCAAGCCGACGAUCUGUAGCUGGUCUGAGAGGACGACCAGCCACACUGGGACUGAGACACGGCCCAGACUCCUACGGGAGGCAGCAGUGGGGAAUUUUGGACAAUGGGCGCAAGCCUGAUCCAGCAAUGCCGCGUGCAGGAUGAAAGGCCUUCGGGUUGUUAAACGUA
rnacentral:rRNA from 1 species